UAAGGGAUAUUGGUCAAUGGGCGGGAGCCUGAACCAGCCAUGCCGCGUGAGGGAAUGAGGCCCUACGGGUCGUAAACCUCUUUUGCCGGGGGAUAACGGGCGCCACGCGUGGCGCCGUGAAGGUACCCGGAGAAUAAGCAUCGGCUAACUCCGUGCCAGCAGCCGCGGUAAUACGGAGGAUGCGAGCGUUAUCCGGAUUCAUUGGGUUUAAAGGGUGCGUAGGUGGCCAUUUAAGUCAGCGGUGAAAGUUUGUGGCUCAACCAUAAAAUUGCCGUUGAAACUGGAGGGCUUGAGUAUGUUUGGGGCAGGCGGAAUGUGUGGUGUAGCGGUGAAAUGCAUAGAUAUCACGCAGAACUCCGAUCGCGAAGGCAGCUUGCCAAGCCAUAACUGACACUGAA
rnacentral:rRNA from 1 species